rnacentral:rRNA from 1 species
AACGCGAAGAACCUUACCAGGACUCGACAUGCCCCUUAACGCCUCCCCAAAAGGAGGCUUCACUUCGGGUGGAGGGGACACAGGUGCUGCAUGGCUGUCGUCAGCUCGUGUCGUGAGAUGUUGGGUUAAGUCCCGCAACGAGCGCAACCCUCGUCCUCUGUUGCUACCAGGUCAAGCUGAGCACUCUGAGGAAACUGCCGGUGAUAAGCCGGAGGAAGGUGGGGAUGACGUCAAGUCCUCAUGGCCCUUACGUCCUGGGCUACACACGUGUUACAAUGGCGGUGACAAUGGGCAGCGAAGUCGCGAGAUGGAGCUAAUCCCCAAAAGCCGCCUCAGUUCGGAUUGUACUCUGCAACUCGAGUACAUGAAGCUGGAAUCGCUAGUAAUCGUGGAUCAGCACGCCACGGUGAAUACGUUCCCGGGCCUUGUACACACCGCGUGUCU